UUGCAAUGAUGACUUGGUUCUGUCAAUCCCCUGAGUGUACUCCUUGAUGUCAAAAUGUCUCUGAGCAA